GGGUCUAUGAUAAGACUUCAUACUGUCUUGAAGAGAAAUGAUGACUUAAAAAUCAUGCUCAAUAGGAUUACCCUGAGGCCC
ensembl:snoRNA SNORD115 Small nucleolar RNA SNORD115